ensembl:snoRNA
AGUCUAAAACAGGAGAAAUGGGCACUGUUGAUCACGGCCUCCAAAAAUUGUGGCAACGUGGCUGAACAGAGACAUAGAUUGUACUUCCAGCACAGUAAAUGCAUUGCAGUGGUGACAGUGAGACCUGAAACAUUU